CAUAAACGACUCUCGGCAACGGAUAUCUUGGCUCUCGCAUCGAUGAAGAACGUAGCGAAAUGCGAUACUUGGUGUGAAUUGCAGAAUCACGUGAACCAUCGAGUCUUUGAACGCAAGUUGCGCCCGAAGCCAUUAGGCCGAGGGCACGUCUGCCUGGGCGU
rnacentral:rRNA from 1 species